GACAGGUGCUCGAUGGCUGUCGUCAGCUCGUGUUGUGAAAUGUUGGGUUAAGUCCCGCAACGAGCGCAACCCUUAUCCUUGUUUGCCAGCACGGUAAUGGUGGGAACUCCAGGGAGACUGCCGGUGAUAAACCGGAGGAAGGUGGGGACGACGUCAAGUCAUCAUGGCCCUUACGAGUAGGGCUACACACGUGCUACAAUGGCGCAUACAGAGGGCAGCAAGCUAGCGAUAGUGAGCGAAUCCAAANAAGUGNGUCGUAGUCCGGAUUGGAGUCUGCAACUCGACUCCAUGAAGUCGGAAUCGCUNGUAAUCG
rnacentral:rRNA from 1 species